rnacentral:rRNA from 1 species
CCUACGGGGGGCAGCAGUGGGGAAUAUUGGACAAUGGGGGCAACCCUGAUCCAGCCAUGCCGCGUGUGUGAAGAAGGCCCUCGGGUUGUAAAGCACUUUCAGUGAGGAAGAACGCCUGGUGGUUAAUACCCAUCAGGAAAGACAUCACUCACAGAAGAAGCACCGGCUAACUCCGUGCCAGCAGCCGCGGUAAUACGGAGGGUGCGAGCGUUAAUCGGAAUUACUGGGCGUAAAGCGCGCGUAGGUGGCUUGAUAAGCCGGUUGUGAAAGCCCCGGGCUCAACCUGGGAACGGCAUCCGGAACUGUCAAGCUAGAGUGCAGGAGAGGAAGGUAGAAUUCCCGGUGUAGCGGUGAAAUGCGUAGAGAUCGGGAGGAAUACCAGUGGGGAAGGCGGCCUUCUGGACUGACACUGACACUGAGGUGCGAAAGCGUGGGUAGCAAACAGGAUUAGAUACCCGUGUAGUC